UACGGAGGGGGCUAGCGUUGUUCGGAAUUACUGGGCGUAAAGCGCACGUAGGCGGCUUUGUAAGUUAGAGGUGAAAGCCCAGGGCUUAACCCUGGAAUUGCCUUUAGACUGCAUCGCUAGAAUCGUGGAGAGGUGAGUGGAAUUCCGAGUGUAGAGGUGAAAUUCGUAGAUAUUCGGAAGAACACCAGUGGCGAAGGCGACUCACUGGACACGUAUUGACGCUGAGGUGCGAAAGCGUGGGGAGCAAAGCAGG
rnacentral:rRNA from 1 species